UCCGGAGGAGAAACGUAAAAUUGCAGGAUUCUGAUUUAACACGACGUGCAGCCAACAGUGUGUACAUGUUAGACCUCAGUGUCAAAUAUCCUCACCAACAUAGAGUGUGUAACAGGCUGUGAGUGUGUCUGUGAUGGUCUCACCUUCCCACACGCACCGUCUCCAAUAACUACUAUCUUCAGCUGCCUGUCCUGGCUGUCCUCCUCCGAGUCCGACAUGACGCUGUAGUGUGCUCCGAUAAAGCACCAGUGUGAGGGAAAUCAACGAAACACGAGAAAAGAAGCACAGGUAGCUGGAGUUCAGGCAAAUCACAGAUGGAUUAGACGACAGUGGAGUGGGCAAAGAGACGCCAUUUUGACUCUACUAACACUGUUGCUGUGCUCGGCUCGGCUCGGCAUGCUCCACUCUCCCACACACACACAGAGUUCAGUUUAAACGGAGGGAACAGAGACCGAGAAACGGGCUGAAGGACUCGACUUGACAACUCAGAGUUUAAAUAUGUCAAUUUUUGCCCCGAGGCCCCUUUACCAGCACGGGGACAAUAUCAAAACCGGAAACCAGAUCACCGCCGCAGUGGUUGCGUCCCGUGUGACGCGUUCUUGUUGCCACAGCAACAAGGGCCAGAGUGUGAAUAUCAAAAUGCUUAAUCCAGCGGCCUAAAAUGACCUAAACAAGGAGAGGGAUGUCAUGAGGGACGAGGAUGGAUAUGCACCUGGGCCACUUUGAAGCAGGGUGCAGCGACUGUCAGUGAAGUUAUACUAAGACAAAAUGCUCAUGGUGUGAUUGACAGCUUCCCAACAGACAGAAAGCUCAAGAGCAAAAUGAAACUUACAUGUUUUUAAAGGAUGGAUAGGCAGCCGGAGUCGAAGCCAUGAGAUCGGCGGCCAUCUGGCGGCGUUUCGUCUUGUACCUGCGGUUCUGGAACCAGAUCUUCACCUGAGUCUCUGUGAGCUUCAGGGAGGCCGCAAGGUCCGCGCGCUCCGGCCCAGACAGGUACCGCUGGUGGUUGAAUCGGCGCUCCAGUUCGAAGACCUGCGCGUGAGAGAAAGCGGCCCUGGAGCGCUUUUUCCGCUGCUUGGGCUGGUCCAUACUCUUCUCAUCUAGGGUGCUGGAGUCUGGCAGAGGGAGACACGCAGAUGCAACAUGCAAGAGGGCUCCCUCUGCUGGUGACAACGAGAAACCGCUGUCCUGAAAAAAGGGAAAGAUGAGACCUUCACUUCCUAAUAGCUCUGCCGGGAAAAGAUGGUAAAGUGGGUGUCAUUGCCUGCAGCUGCAACUUCUGCAAGAAGACAAACUGUGAUUUGGAUGUUUGCAGAUGAUGGACUGAUGUCUCUGACAGGUGAUAACAAAACAGACAGGACUGCAACUUGGGACUGUUUUUAUUAUUUAGUGUUAUAUCGUUGAUAAAAAUGACUUGUGAUUUGUUUUGUUGAAGCCUUACGGAAAGGGCUGUGGUUGUACUUUGUUAAAAUACCUUUUUUUUUCCUUUUUUUAAUCAUAUCUUUAUGCCUUACUUUUGUUUUCCUACUCCGUCUUUGACACUCUGUCUAAACACCUUUGACUGAUAUCAUUUGUCUUUAAACACGAGUUACAAGGUAGAAAAAUAUAAUGAUAAAUGGGGAAAGUUUCUGCGGUUUCACUCACCACAGGGGAACCUUCUGGGCACUAGCUCACUGUUUUUGUUGAAUGCCAGAUUAUAUAAUGUAUACAUUGUACAACAAGUUGUUUGUAUUUGUAAACAUAUAGAGACAUGUUCCUUGCGGUGUGGUUGUUGGGACUCUGAACUGAAGGCAGGAGGUGUGGCGAUGGUGCGGUGAAAGGAAGGAGUGUGGACACUGUUGGAUGGACGUUGAUUAAAUAUCUAUAUGUGAAGUGUGGGUAGAGGACAUCUGACAGUGGUACGGUGGACAUCUUGUUAACUCGCCCAAAAUGUCUUGUUAAUACUGGUAUUUUGUUAUUCUCACUAUUUGAGCAUUUAUUUUUUUUAUUGUCUAUACGGUAUUUUUCUUCUCUGUUUGUUGUUUUGUCUAUUUGUCUGUUUGUUUUUUAUUCUUUUUCAUGCCCGUCAAACUCACAUAUUAUCGUUUUUAAAAAAAUUUUAACUCUUCGGCUUGGCACUAUUUGGUCCUCUAUGUUGUGGAUAUGUGCUGUUGAAAAUUUAAAAACCAAUAAAACUUAAGUCAUACAAAAAAUACGAGUUACAAAUAGUAGGAUAGUACAUAUUACUUUUCUUUCUAAAGCAAAAGGGUUCCCUGAAACCGCUGAGCUUUAUUGUUUGGAUUAAAUAUCAAUCAAAGCAAAGAAAACAAUGUGUUUAAUGGGGACUACUUUCAUUGGCAGAUUAAUAUAUGUUUUGUGAACUGUGCAUAUUUACAGCAGCCAGACAGUUUUUCCAAACUCAGAAAAUUCAAGUGCAUGUCUUAUAUAGUUUGAAAACAAUGCUCUGCAAUAUAGAGCAGCAAAGUCAGUAGUACAGUUAAUGUACAAUUAAAGCAGCUAGUUUUAUUGGCAUGUUGACAACAAAGCUACUUCACAGUUUAAACAAAUGUGGAGCCUAUAGAAACACCAGAGCACCUAACAGUCAGAGGAAACAAAGGCAACACAAAGAUUUAUCUUUCAUCAUAUUAACUUCGCUCAACUACCAAAAGUUAUGUGAAAGAUCUAUCUGCAGAAAUUUAAAUAUUGGCUGCUGUGUAAGCUCUUGUGAUUGUGUUUUGGGGCGCUGCAUUGUCAAAAACCUUCUUAUAUUAAAGAUCUGCUGAAGGCCUCUAACAUCAGCAGGACUGUGAGGUCCUCUGAGGUCAGGGUUUUCUGGUUAUACCUAACAUCCGACUCAAAACUAAAUGAGACUGAGCUUUUAGAACAUGUACCUCCUAAACUUUGGAACUGCCUCCUGCUGGAGCUUACAAACAUGGACACUGUGGACAUUUUUAGAAAGCAGCUGAAGACUCGUGUUUGGACAUGUUAUUCUCCUAAUCCGUGUGUGCUUUUGUGUAAUAGUUGAUAUUCGAUGUCUACUGCAAUCACUCAGUUUCACUCUUAAGCACUGUGUGAUGUCUGUUCUUGAGAAAUAAUGUAUAAAUAAACUGCACUGACUUACCACAUACAAACUA